UACGGGGGGAGCAAGCGUUGUUCGGAUUUACUGGGCGUAAAGGGCGCGUAGGCGGCCACCGCAAGUCGACUGUGAAAUCUCCGGGCUUAACCCGGAAAGGUCAGCCGAUACUGCGGGGCUAGAGUGCAGAAGGGGCAACUGGAAUUCUUGGUGUAGCGGUGAAAUGUGUAGAUAUCAAGAGGAACACCUGAGGUGAAGACGGGUUGCUGGGCUGACACUGACGCUGAGGCGCGAAAGCAUGGGGAGCGAACAGG
rnacentral:rRNA from 1 species